rnacentral:rRNA from 1 species
UACGGGGGGGGCAAGCGUUGUUCGGAAUUACUGGGCGUAAAGGGCUCGUAGGUGGCCAACUAAGUCAGACGUGAAAUCCCUCGGCUUAACCGGGGAACUGCGUCUGAUACUGGAUGGCUUGAGUUCGGGAGAGGGAUGCGGAAUUCCAGGUGUAGCGGUGAAAUGCGCAGAGAUCGGGAGGAACACCCGUAGCGAAGGCGGCACUCUGGGCCGGUACUGACGCUGAGGAGCGAAAGCGUGGGGAGCAAACAGG